AAAAACCGCUCUAAUGAAGUGUCAACCGGUGGAUUAAAUGUAAUGUGGUGCCCAUGUACAACUUCCGGCGCCGACGCGAGUGGCUGCCUGUUCCAGUAACUCCGUCUCCUUUGUGUGUUUUUUUUUUCAAACCCUCAGUUCCGUCGGUGGUUAUGGGGAAUGUAAACUCACUGACCAACAAAACUGACGAGGUAGCCUGUCUGGUGAAGUAUCAGAAGCUCUACAGGGAGUGUAGCGUGCUGUGUUUCACCGAGACCUGGCUCACCCCCGACACGCCGGAUGCUAACGUGGAGCUACCCGGCUUCUCUACAGUGAGAGCGGACAGGGACCCGGCGCUAUGCGGCAAGCGGAAAGGUGGGGGGAUCGCGCUCUCCAUUAAAAGCAGAUGGUGCAACCCUGGACAUGUAAACGUGAAGGAGGUGAUCUGCUGCCAGGAUAUUGAACUUUUAGCGGUGAGUCUCCGACCGUAUUACAUGCCGCGGGAGCUUUCUCACGCGAUCCUCGUCUGUGUUUACAUUCAGCCGAGAGCGGACGUGCAGGCGGCGUGUGACGUCAUCCACUCCACCGUCGCAGCGCUGCAGACCCAGUACCCUGACGCCUUCUAUGUGAUUACUGGAGAUUUUAAUCACGUAACGCUGGACUCUACCCUGCCUGCCUUUUUCCAGUUUGUGGACUGUCCAACCAGGAAUAACAGAACCAUAAACUUGCUGUAUGCUAAUUUGAAGGAUGCAUACAGGGCUAUUCCACUACCACCACUGGGGAAAUCAGAUCACAACCUGGUCUUCCUGCAGCCUCAGUACAAACCACUGGUACUGAGGCAGCCCACUACCACACGCUCAUUCAGAGUCUGGUCUCCUGAAGCAGAGGAAGCCCUAAGGGACUGCUAUGACACCACUGACUGGAGCGUGCUGCUGCACCCACAUGGCGAGGACAUUGAGGGGGUGACUCACUGUGUUACAGACUACUUGAAUUUCCAUAUGGAUGUUGCUGUUACCACAAAGACUGUACGCUGCUUUCCAAACAACAAACCCUGGAUUACCAGUACCGUCAAGGACCUCCUCAACCAAAAGAAGAGGGCGUUCAAAGAUGGACACCUGGUAGAGCUAAAGCGCGUACAGAGGGAACUCAAGGUACGUCUUAAAGAGGCCAAGGAGUCUUACAGGAAAAAGGUGGAAAGAAAGCUGCAAGAUAACAACAUGAAGGAGGUCUGGGGUGCUAUGAAAACCAUCACUGGGUGCAAGAACAACAACGGCAAUCCAGUAGAUGGGGGUGUGGACAGAGCAAACCAGUUUAACAACUUUUACAACAGAACCAAGAAACUGCAACAAGUUUUUUUCAAGUUCUUGCCACCAUCUACAGGGAUGAGAGAGAAUAUUCAAGGAAGAUCUAUGAUGUUGGCAACACUGAGCAUCUUAUUGAAACAGCAUCGGCAGAACAACUUGGAUAUGUUGUUGUGAGAAUUCUAAAAUUCAACCCACAAUUUCAGGAAUUUAUUGACGUAGAUAGGAAUGUAGACAUCAGGAACUUAGAUAGAUUCCAGCUGUUCUUAUCAUGCAAAGAGACUGAAUCAUCUCAACCUAUGGCCACUUCAGUGUCCCAAGCUCAGCAUACUCAAGUUUCACAAGAGCAUGAAAAACUGAGGUCCAUUUUGGAAAAGAAAGCACCAGAGACACUUGAUGAACUCAAAACCAAAGGCACUGUGACAGAAAAAGCAAGAAUAAAGCUUGUUAAAGUGUGCGGAUCUGACCUGGUGGAAAAGCAUGGAUUGUGAGUAAAACAAACCACCUUUUUAACAUAUUCAAGAAAAGUAAAAAAAAAAAAAAAAAAAAAUACAGCAAAUUAUAGUGGCUUGUAUAACACUGCUAAAGUACAGCAGAGUAAAUGCUUUAUAUUUAAGUUUUGAGUUGGUUUUGUUUUUCUUCUAUUAAUUACUUAUCCAACAAGUACUGAAAAAGUGGCUCUAGCAAAGAACAUCAUCGCUGUCUUCCCUGAGAGUCCAGGUGGAUGGAAACGGGGAAGGAUUUGAGCACUUUUACGAUCCAGAUUCUCAUUCUGGAUUUUUGGAAAUGAGACUGCGCAACAUUCGUCGAAAGCUAGAAGAUGGUCAGCGGCAUUAUAGGUCAAACAAACGACGCUGUGAAGAUGGUCCUAAUCCGGACAAGGAGGAGGAAGAUGGUAGUGGGACAAGUGAGUGGAUCAACUUGAUGAAAAGGCUCAGGCCUUCUACAGACAACAUUUCAUCGAUCAAAGCAGCAAUGCAGAAAACCUUCACCUGGCGCAGAUCAUGGAUAGCCAAACAUUCCCCUCUCCCUGUCUGAAAUCUUUGAGGAAUACCCACGCUUCUUGGAUAUGCCAACUCUGCUUGAUACAGAGUUUGGUAAAAUGUUUGAGGGAAAAGGAGAUUUGUUCUUAAGAAGAUGGGAGGCUACCAUCAUUCCCAAGUUGAAGGCAAUUGCCAUCAUGGAGACAGGCGAUCUUGCAUCUCUUAAGGACAUGGAAAACCAGA